UACAGAGGUCUCAACCGUUGUUCGGAUUCAUUGGGCGUAAAGGGUGCGUAGGCGGUCGUGCAAGUCGGAUGUGAAAUCUCAGGGCUCAACCCUGAAACUGCAUUCGAUACUGCGCGGCUAGAGUGCUGGAGGGGAGACUGGAAUUUACGGUGUAGCAGUGAAAUGCGUAGAUAUCGUAAGGAAGACCAGUGGCGAAGGCGAGGCUCGGGACAGCAACUGACGCUGAGGCACGAAGGCCAGGGGAGCAAACGGG
rnacentral:rRNA from 1 species